rnacentral:lncRNA from 1 species
UUUUUUUCUUUGGACUUAUUCCUCACUGUUUUACACCAUGAUCUUCAGACUCUUCAGCACCUUCAGCUCUCUCUCUCAUUUUCACUCUAUUUGAUAUUUCUGUUGCUGAAGAGGAACUGAUACUCUGCACUGGAGGAAAGGACAGCAUCAAUUAUUGCAAGAACCAGUUUGGCAUUGCAUUCAUUCUAAUGUCCAUGGGAAUGCAAUUAUGCAUCCAGCUCUCUGAAAUCCUCAGGGAACUCAGGACAAUCUGUAUUAGGGACCCUCGCUGGCUUCUCAUGGACUCCCUUGGGUCACUCUCAUGUCCCUCUGCCACCCGGUGUGUGAGGAGCUGUGUAUAACAGGACAGGGCUGAGAGAU